UUAUUUUAUGAAUGACAUCAAAUGGGUUAAGAUUGGUUUGGCUUACACAUUGGUGCCUUAUUAACCAUUCUUUGAUUAUGAAGCCUGGAUGAAUAAUUUGUUAUAUUUACAACUUAUCAAAUCAAGGAUACAAGUAAGAGUUUUCUUUUUAAGAAAUUAAAUAGAUAUGUCCCUGUGCUUUAGAAUUUUUGUAUAUUUGAUUUUAUUAUUAUUUGGUUAACUUAUAAUCUCAAGUACUCUUAAUAAUGAAAAUUGAUAGCAUAAUUAAUAGUUAAGAAUUGUGAAGUUUCUAUUUAGAGUUGGAAUGGAAUAAUUAGGUUUUGAUUAUGGAACUUGGAUUGUGGAAAUAGAUGAAAGUGAGAAUAGAUGAAAUUAAUAUUUUUUUUUUUGGGAAAAAACCUUAACUAUUAUGUAUGUAAAAUGGUUUUGUGUUCAAUUCUUCAAUAGAUAUCAAGUUGGGUGAAAGUUUAAAUUUGGAUUAAUACUUGUAUCAUUAUUUUAUUAAUUUGUAAGAGCUAUGUGAACCUAAUCCUCCAUAGGAGAUAUGUAGGCAGCUUUCGGGUGCGAUCCAAAGUAAAUAGCUAUUAAUUUUUAUUUGUUUAUUUUUUUUUGUUUUGUUAUUCAUUUUUAUAUAUUGUAUGUGGGACAGAAAAUUGGCUUUUGCAGCUUUGUUCCAUGAAAUAUCGUGGAUUAAUAUUGCAAUACUGUAAUAUUGUGGAUUAACAGUACAACCACAGCAGUUGCAUUAGUAUAUUAAUUGCUUGAUGUUUAUUACAUGCUUAGUAUUUGAUAUAACGGUUAUUUUUAUUUUCAUUUAAUGCUAGUUGUGUUAUAUUUACUUGGGAACUUUUAGAAUCCAUGUAAAUAAAAUAUAUUAUGAUUUCUUUGUCUUUUCUUCUAAGAAAAACUAAUUUGUUUAGUUUUAGAUGUUAUUUAGUAUGUACUAUUGUUUAGGGAAUAGGGUGUGACAGUAUCAUUUCUCUGUGCGCCUUUUAUGAUUUGCUCUAACGGUGGAUCUACCUUACCAGAAAGGUUUGGACCGAGGGAAUAUACAUUUAGGGAACUAGCAAAUGCAACUGGCCAGUUCUCCAACUCAAACAUCCUUGGGGAUGGUGGUUUUGGGCAAGUCUACAUGGGCACCGUGGCUGGUAAAGUCGUUGCUAUUAAGAAGCUUAAAUAUUUUCCUGAUGAACAGCCAAGUGAAGGACUGAUGCAGGAGAUGAGGAUUGUUAGCAGUGUGAUUCAUAAAAAUCUGGUAAAGCUGAUUGGAUAAUGCACUGAAGGUGCCAAUGUAUUGCUUGUUUUUGAGUAUUUUCCCAAAAAAUCCUUGAAUUUUCGUUUACAUGGAAACAAGAGUUUGGUGUGGAAAGCAAGAAUGAAAAUCGCAAAAGGCUCAGCUGAAGGGUUUGCAUAUUUACAUGAUGGCUGUAAACCCAAAAUCAUACACCGUGAUGUUACUUCUACUAAUAUCCUUCUUGAUAACAACCUUGAAACGAAGGUAGGAUUUACAUAUUGAAAUAACUGUACAUGUGAGGAGCUUUGAGCUAAAUGCUAAUAUCUUUUUCGGAUGAUAAUAGAUAAUUGUGAGAACUCGUUAGUUUCAUAUUUGGAUGUCAUUUCGUUAUUUA